rnacentral:rRNA from 1 species
GAUUAAUUGGAGUUCUAGUUCAUUUACUUUGAAGAAAUUAAGAGUGUUUAAAGCAGCCUCUUGGGGCACUGAAUACAUUAGCAUGGGAUAAUAAAAUAGGAUCUUCACAAUAUAUUUUAUUGGUUUAAAUUGGAUAUGAAGAUAAUGAUUAAUAGGGACAGUUGGGGGUAUUCAUAUUGGGUGGUUAGCGGUGAAAUGCUCGGAUCCAUUCAAGAUGAACUAAAGCGAAAGCAUUUACCAAGGAUGUUUUCAUUAAUCAAGAACGAAAGUUAAGGGAUCGAAGACGAUUAGAUACCGUCGUAGUCUUAACUAUAAACUAUGCCGACCAGGGAUAUGAGUUGUUAGGAAUAUAUGAAAGUAUAUUCAAUUUCUUCUUAUGGACCUUGUGAGAAAUCAUAAGUUUUUGGGUUCUGGGGGGGAGUAUGGUCGCAAGGCUGAAACUUAAAGGAAUUGACGGAGGGGC